rnacentral:rRNA from 1 species
AAAACGGAGAGUUUGAUCCUGGCUCAGGAUGAACGCUGGCGGUAUGCUUAACACAUGCAAGUCGAACGAAAUCUUCGGAUUUAGUGGCGGACGGGUGAGUAACGCGUGAGAAUCUGGCUUUAGGUCUGGGACAACCACUGGAAACGGUGGCUAAUACCGGAUGUGCCGAAAGGUGAAAGGUUAACUGCCUGAAGAUGAGCUCGCGUCUGAUUAGCUAGUAGGUGUGGUAAAGGCGCACCUAGGCGACGAUCAGUAGCUGGUCUGAGAGGACGAUCAGCCACACUGGGACUGAGACACGGCCCAGACUCCUACGGGAGGCAGCAGUGGGGAAUUUUCCGCAAUGGGCGAAAGCCUGACGGAGCAA